CCUCCUCCUCAUCAAGCAACCUAUCCAACCUAAGUCAACCUGCUUAGAUUGGGUUAGGUCAGUUAGGUUAAUAGAUCCUUUUCGAGUGAUCCAUACUCUUCAGUUCCAUGUGUUGAGUUAUGACUACUUGAAUAUGCUCAAUAUUUGUGUGCUUCUUCUUGAAGUUGUGUUUUGAAAAUUUUCAAGUUUCAAAAAGUAAUUUGACAGAUCUACUUUUGCAAUGUUGUAUGGAUGAGGCUUCAGAUGUCCGACAGAGUGGAUUUGCCUUACUUGGUGACCUUGCUAGAAUUUGUCUUGUUCAUUUGGGACCUCGUUUGUCCUAAUUUCUUGAUAUUGCAGCCAGGCAAUUGGUAUGUAACACACUUUGCAUGGUUUUAAGUGGUGAUUUUGGAAGGUAGUAGUAGAUGCAUUCCGCAGGAUCCCCAGGGCCACUUGGAAUGCGAAAGAAAGUUUUGAAAAUGCAAGUUAUGGAUUUCUCCAGCAUCGUCAUUGUCAUGGGUGGAAAAACAACUCAGUGAAAUAUCUGGUGCUAAAGUUCAGGUAAAGAACUUAGAUCCCUUGGUGCACCGUGCCAUUGCUGCAGCUCUUGCUAUUCCAGAUCUUCAAGGCUAUUGCUGUAGCUUCAUGCAUUCGUGACUCAUGGCCUGUUCUUAUAAUGGCGCCAUCUUCAUUGCGUUUACAAUGGGCUUCUAUCAUUCAACAAUGGCUGGACAUUCCUCCAUUUGAUAUUCUUGUUGUUUUGUCUCAAUGUGGGGGACCAAACAGAGGAGGAUUCACAAUAAUGUCCUCAAACUCCUAAGGAAUCAUUCAUCUUGAUGGCCUAUUUAAUAUCAUCUCGUAUGAUGUGGUGUCCCUAAAUUGCAGAAUUUACUAAUGGCAUUAGACUUUAAGGUUGUGAUUGCAGAUGAGUUGCACUUUUUGAAAAAUGCUCAAGCAAAGAGAACGACUGCUUUUGUUCCAGUUAUAAAGGUAUUUCUUUCUUGAUCAAUGAUGGUAACGUAGUACCAGCAUCCAGACAUGUUUUUGUACUGAUUCUCCUUUGUACUGAAUUGCGAGCCCAAUCACAUUAAUCUACUACCAUUCCUUUUCAGCCAUAGAUUCAUGCUGAAUCUCAAAUAAAUAGAACAGGUAAAUAAAGUACACAUGAAUACUAAAUUUGUUUUCAUUGCUGUUCCAUAGUUAAAUAAAUGAUGCACAAAUUCAUCCUUUUAAUAGUUUAAAACUAUAUGAUUAAAAGGCCAGAAAAAAGAAAGUUGACUUGUAAACCUAGUCAUUACAUUUCAUAUUUUGUUUGUUUCACUUUGAAUGGUCAUUUUUGGUCCACAAUGCAAUAGAAUAAAUUUUUAGUGGGACAGCUGCAUAUUUUGAUCCUCUCUCUUGACAUCUUCAUCUCCUCGAUAGUAGACUUUCAGAAAGCUCAAUAUGCAAGAUAACUUAUUGGAACUCCUGCUUUGUCUUGGCCAAUUGAAUUAUUCAAGCAGGUAUUUCUGGUGGCUCAUUUAGGAUACAUAUGAUGUCAAUGGUGUUUGGUAUUUUAAUAAUCCUUUGUGAGUUUGUGCAAACUUUUGCAGUUGGAAGCCUUGUAUCCUGAUGUAUUUACAAGUGUCCAUGAAUGUGGUAAUCGAUAUUGCAAGGGUGUCUGAAGCAUUUAAUUUAAAACUAUUCCUUUCACUUAUAAAUUUUGUCGCUGCUAUUGAUCUUUCAGGGAGUAUUUGGAAUCUAUCUAGGUGCAAGUAACCAUGAAGAAUUGCAUAAUUUGAUGAAAGCAACAUUGAUGAUUCGCAGACUUAAAAAAGAUGUUCUUUCUGAGUUUCCUACGAAGCGUAGGCAAUAGAUUUCAGGAAUUUAAGGAGCAAGGUCAAGUUUAAUCAAUGGAGCACAUGUUUAAAAUUAAUGCAAUGAAGAGUUCAACGCAAGAUUUGUCUCCUCCACUAACAAAACGAUUGUUUUAAGUAUGUACUAAUGACAAUUAUAUGCAUGUAAAGACAAAUAUUGUUUUAUAAAUAUUUAAAGCCUUGGUGUUUUAAGAAUUUGCUAAUUUGCUUUAUAUAUUGUAUACUUUUGCACCUUUACUAUUAAUUAAUUUAGAAAAUAACUAAAAUAAUUGCAUUGGUUCCUGAAAAUCCAUCCUUAUUGAUUGCUAAACAUAAAGCAUUCAGAGACUAGAGCUUGGUUGUUGAAUAUAGAGCAUUGGUGACCAAUUUUUGGUGAUUAAAAUUAUUUUUGAAUAUGUGAAGGACCAAAAGUGACUACUGUGUUAGUUGCUG